GACGAACGCUGGCGGCGUGCUUAACACAUGCAAGUCGAACGGGAAGGCCCUUCGGGGUACACGAGUGGCGAACGGGUGAGUAACACGUGUGUGAUCUGCCCUGCACUUCGGGAUAAGCCUGGGAAACUGGGUCUAAUACCGGAUAGGACCACUGCCUGCAUGGGUGGUGGUGGAAAGCUUUUGCGGUGUGGGAUGGGCCCGCGGCCGAUCAGCUUGUUGGUGGGGUGAUGGCCUACCAAGGCGUCGACGGGUAGCCGGCCUGGGAGGGUGACCGGCCACACUGGGACUGAGAUACGGCCCAGACUCCUACGGGAGGCAGCAGUGGGGAAUAUUGCACAAUGGGCGCAAGCCUGAUGCAGCGACGCCGCGUGAGGGAUGACGGCCUUCGGGUUGUAAACCUCUUUCAGCACCGACGAAGCGCAAGUGACGGUAGGUGCAGAAGAAGGACCGGCCAACUACGUGCCAGCCGCCGCCGUAA
rnacentral:rRNA from 1 species